UACGAAGGGGGCUAGCGUUGUUCGGAUUUACUGGGCGUAAAGCGCACGUAGGCGGAUUGUUAAGUCAGGGGGUGAAAUCCUGGAGCUCAACUCCAGAACUGCCUUUGAUACUGGCAAUCUAGAGUCCGGAAGAGGUGAGUGGAACUCCUAGUGUAGAGGUGGAAUUCGUAGAUAUUAGGAAGAACACCAGUGGGCGAAGGCGGCUCACUGGUCCGGUACUGACGCUGAGGUGCGAAAGCGUGGGGAGCA
rnacentral:rRNA from 1 species